rnacentral:piRNA from 2 species
UGAUAAGACCCAGGUGGAGGAUUUUUGGCA